UUACAUGCUAUUUUUUUCAAGAAAUGAACUAAAAUAAACUGAAACUUCGCUACCGUAACUAUAAAAACCAAAACAGAUACAAUCCUAAAAUCUAUGCAAUAUAAUCAGAUUUACUUGAUAUAAUAAAAAGGAUUUCUCACAACCAGACUUAGUAUCCAAUUGUAGGAUACAGAAAUCUUGUUAGACUCUUAUUCAGAGAGAAAUCUCCCGUAAUAAUACGGGGAUGGAAACUCACGAAUCGAUUUCCGUCGGAAAUGCAAAGUCUCGGCGAGAUAUUGCACAGAAUUACUACCAUAAAAUAUUAAGUCUUUGUGAUACAAUAUUGUGCGACGACUUUGUAUCGUGUAUGUGACAAGAACUGUACUGAUAAAGAGUAUAAUGUUAAGAAUGAAACUGCUUAAAAACUUAUUCAUAAUGUUUUUUUUUGUCGCAGUUUAUUGUAAAAUUUAAACCAUGACAUCAACCCACUGUUGCUGCUGUGGGCUCCUUGCCUAUUGAAAUCGCAGACUCUAUGUCAGCGGGAAGCCUCUCGCUCAAGUGACGUAAAGCAGGAGCUGCGACCGAGUGUUGCGACGGACGAUUGGCGACAGAACCGCCUCAAACCGCAUUUUUAUGAAAGCCCCUAAUGACACGUGAAAUCCCAAAUUGCUAAGACGGAAUGGAGUUACCAAACAGACCCUAAUCCGGCACACAUCCUAUGUACCUAUAAGUAAGGAUGAAAUAACCUCAAUUUCACCAACAAGAUCCGCGGUAAUGUGUUGCGAAUGGUACGGCUUGAUAAGGAAAAACGGGUAAAUAAGGAAUCGUGAGAGGCCACCGGUACCGGAAAGGGUCAGGCGGGGGGAGGCGCUCAUCCGGCGGAUACACCGCAACCGGCCGCCGGCCGCCGGACCGAUGUAUUCCACAGCCGGAGGGCAGAUCGCCGAGACUUUUAUAAAACAUUGACGUUGUAGUGAAGCCAAUAACUACGUUCUGGGGCACUCAAAUGGACAUGAUUUGUUUACCAUGAAAAGGUCAACAUUGUUAGCUGUUUAGUAUUUCACAUAUUGUGGCAUUUCUGUUCACAGUCCGUGCAGAGUUUCUGGUAAAACUUGAACUUUGUGCCAACACAAUACUUUUACGAACAUUUUAAGCGAAUCGAGAACGAAAUGGCUCAAUGUGAGCAAAAUUGUAUAAAAAAUCUUUUCUUUAAACAUUAUCACAAAGGAGCUUAUUUUUAAAAGCUUCAAAGCAAAAAAGAUUCUCUUAUCAAGACUGCAAUUAGAAUAUUUUUUCUUUUUGAUCCACAGACGUAAGAGUAAUGAAAUUUUGAUAUCAAUUCGCAACCGACGAAAUCCCAGGAGAUAGUGCUUUCAAAACAACUUUGAUUUCCUCCCGGCAUAGUCAAAGGAGCUUACGGAGAAAAAGCGACGAAAGAAAGAAAGAAAUAAAAAAUGCACAGAAACACGGAGGUCGGAGUUUUUCCUGUCACCGGGCACAAACAAUGCCUCCAUUGUAGGGCUGCGGCCCGGCCGCGCCCCGCGCGCCCGCAGCGCCCGCCGCGGUACCGCCGAGGAAACGAGCAUCUUUUGUUUCCAACCCCGCGUCCCGCACGGAAACGAGAGCUUUGAACCCGCGGUCAUCUGUUUACAUCACGCCAACUUUAGAAAAAAAGACAUCCGAUUAUUUGUUCUGCAGACUACGUAAGCACUGCAACGGAAAUAUACUCGAUCGCGUUUUGCGAGGACUCGGGUUUACGCCGGCGUUUUCAACAUAAAAUAUUUUAUCGAUGCAAAAAAGUAAGUACGUAUUCUACGUUCAAGCGAAACGAAAGGGUUAUUUUACUGGCUCUUUUCAUAAACAAAAGUACGUUUCAUCCAUUUGGAAAACCUAUUGCAAUAUUAAUUUAAAAUUGAAAUUCGUAUUGAAUACUUGAAAACGUAUCGACAUGUCGUCAAUCAAUUAGUAGUGGCCUGCAUUCGCCAGUUGCAAAUAUUAAACUGAUUCGAUGCUCAAAAAAGGUUGGAGCAAUUUAAAAAUUCGUUCAAUUCAAUUAAUAAAUAACACAGUAGGUAAUGGCAGCACAGCAUCGGCGCGUAACAAUUUGGAAUGAAUAAAAAGGUUGGUCCCCGACAGGUAACGUACUUACAACUCACUCAGGGACGACGAAUAAUAAAUUAUAUUUUUUCCUCGGCCCGCUCAUUUAGAUAUGAAAAAAUAACCGACCCUGGCGACCGUUUCGGAAUGUCUUACUUAUUCACAUAGCUCUGAAUUUCGCCGACUACCGGAUAAUUUAAAUGUAUUGUCGUAUCUCAUAAUCCUCAUAGAAUUUUUGGAAAAUAUAAUAUUCAAACAAAAAUGAGACACUUUAUUGUUAUUUUUAUUACUUUCAACAUUAACAUAUUGAGAAACUUAAUGAGUCGUUAAAAUUACUUUUUCCAUUACGUGAAACCAUAUUAGCCUUUUUGAUAUACCUAAUAAGUAUAUAGUAUACAACUUCCUAUGAGUGUUUCCCGCACUACACAAAAUUAGUGGAACCGGAAAAAACCAAUAUAGUCUGCCUAAAGCUGAACAGACAAAUUAACAUGUCACAGAACGAAAUUGUGUCAGGGACGUCAAGCCGCACGAGGCGGCAACACUAGUGUAAAAUGCAAUUCGCGUAAUCGAUUAAAUUUGAAUCAUGACGGACGCAUACAGCCAGCAUCACUUUUAACAUUGUACAAUUUAUUUUUUAUUCGACCAGAUCGUGCACAGAACUCGUUUCUGAUCUUCUAAAUUCAAAUGGCGGGAUUUUUUUUAAAUAACAGAAUUCGAAUUAGUCCUAUAAAAAGUUACCUUUGCAUUUCUCAAAAGUAACGUAGCAAUUUUUAUUAAAUAUUUGGGAUUUUAUAAUAAGCUUUAAGAGAAGUUUGUGAAUUUGCUACCCUUGGCGAUGAAAUAUAAUUAAGAUAAAUCCAGUGCAAGCUAAGAAGUCCCAUAGCAUCACUAGCCGAUAAAGAGUCAUUUUCCUUGUCAGAAUCAUUUUCAUAUCGAAAUAUAGGUAAGUGUAGGAAUAUCUUGUGGUUUUGAUUUAUAUAACUGUUCGACAUUAAGAAACAAUUGUCAACCUUUUUAUUUUCUGUCGUUUAUUAAGACGUGAUUAAAAAAUAUAUUUUCGUAUUCAAAUAAACUGCCAAAACUUGCGCUGUUGUUUCUAUCAACUCAUCAAAGCUAAUAAUGCGAUGUUGGUUCUUCCGUUGACUUCAGGCCACACUUGUAAGGUGGAGUAAGUAAACAGGUGGAUCAAAUAGUUUCGUGAGGAAAUGAUGUGGUGUGCCGGCUCUGGCAUGAACGACACGAAUUUCCGCUUCAAGCCCGUUCUUUUAUUGCACACCUAAAUUGAAUUUUCGCAGCGCCAUACAUAUUCCGCUCACCAAGUGAAUUUCAUAUUUCACUAUAUUUUGUUAAAGAUAUUAUUAAAGUAAUUUUUCAGGUGUACUUUU